UACAGAGGUCCCAAGCGUUGUUCGGAUUCACUGGGCGUAAAGGGUGCGUAGGUGGCCAGGUAAGUUCGGUGUGAAAGCUCGGAGCUUAACUCCGAAAAGGCAUUGAAUACUAUCUGGCUGGAGGGUCGGAGGGGAGACUGGAAUUCUCGGUGUAGCAGUGAAAUGCGUAGAUAUCGAGAGGAACACCAGUGGCGAAGGCGAGUCUCUGGACGACACCUGACACUGAGGCACGAAAGCCAGGGGAGCGAACGGG
rnacentral:rRNA from 1 species